CCCUUAGAUGUUCUGGGCCGCACGCGCGCUACACUGAUGCAUUCAACAAGUUCACCUUGGCCGAGAGGCUUGGGCAAUCUUUUGAACAUGCAUCGUGAUAGGGAUAGAUUAUUGCAAUUAUUAAUCUUGAACGAGGAAUUCCUAGUAAACGUAGAUCAUCAAUCUGCAUUGAUUACGUCCCUGCCCUUUGUACACACCGCCCGUCGCACCUACCGAUUGAAUGGUCCGGUGAAAUCUUCGGAUUGAGACUUUGAUUUCUUCACGGAAAACGCUGUUUUAAAAAGUUGAUUAAACCUUACCAUUUAGAGGAAGGUGAAGUCGUAACA
rnacentral:rRNA from 1 species